GUUCACUGCCGUACAGGCAGCUUAGAAA
rfam:Serratia fonticola strain DSM 4576, complete genome.